rnacentral:tRNA from 1 species
GAGGGUAUAGCUUAGUGGCAGAGUGUGUGCUUAGCAUGCACAAGGUCCUGGGUUCCAUCCCCAGUACCUCCA